rnacentral:lncRNA from 1 species
CCAGUCCAAAACUCCAACCACAUCCCUAUAUAAAUAAAUAACCCCCAUCCAACAGAACGACCAUACACCACGCCUCCUCCCUCUUCGGUGCAACAGAAGAACGUGGACGGAGCUAAUCAAUCUCCCUCUUCUCACGCCUCCUCCCUCUCCUCGACAUGGAUGCGGUCAGAGCUAAUUCUUGGGUGCAGCAGAAGGACCAUACAUCACCUGCGCAACAGAAGAUGCAUGCACCACCGGGAAUUGAUCCAAUUACACCUGCGCCAUUCUAUCCAGUAAGUUCAAUUUUGCCUGCAACAAUAGAGUUUUUCUGAUCAGUUUAUCAAUACAACAUGACGUGCAACUUUAAUGGUCCCUUGGAGGGUAACACUGAUGACGAAUCAGAUUCUGAAGACCCUAUCAUUAGCUUUACUGAGGACCCAUUCAUCCAUCCCUUAAUGCCACACAACAACAGAAUAAUCGGACAAGGACAAGCAGAUAGCAAUUCCAAAAUUAUGCAGGAACUCCAAGUGUUCAUUACCAAUCAGUACAUGUCACUAUCAAAUCAAAUUGAUGACAGGUUCAAUGCACUUAACAAGCGGUUCGAUGAUGUAAUUGUGAAAAUAAUGGGCCUAGCCCAUAGUAAUUUCAGAAUUUCAAAUAAAUCUCAAAGGCCCAUGUGGGCAAGAGGUGGAGUGGUGCAAGUCUUUAGUCCCACAUUGCUAGUGGAGGGGAGGGAUGACCAACUUAAAUAUGGAAGUUGUCUCCACUCCUCCAAGCUAUGUGUGUGGGGAGAGAAGAAGAGCUCCACACGCGCGCGCUCCCUCGCCACGCCGCGCCUCGCCUCGCCGGGCGAGGCGGGGCGAAGGGCGCGGGCGCGUGGCAUCUGCGUGAAUGGUCCUCCGAAAUCCGGCCCCUCGCCUUGCGGGGGCGCGGCUUCCUUUUGUGACCUACUGGCCUCUACCAAAAACAGAUCUAUUCGAGCUAGGGUUUUUGCCUCCUCUCGUUGCUGCGCCGCCACCGUAGUCUACUCCAUCCUGAUUGUCGGCGUGCACCGGCGAUUGGGAGAGCAGGUCUCCGGAACCAUCAUCUUCAACGAUCCUGCACCGGGAGAGGGCGAAUAAGGUUUUUGGGAAGCGCUCUGCGCGACUGCUCGAUCGCUUCCUCCGCUUCGUCAAGUUCUUCGUCGACUCCUUCACCACGGCUCGUCUACCUCUUCAUCACUCACCGUCGCGAACAACGUCAGGCUGCCGAUCGUCGUCGCCUGUUGUACCCGGUAGUCAUCCAGGAGCCGGUCUUCAUUAAGAAAGAAACGUACGAUCUCUUAUCUCAAAUUAUGUCUUCCAUACUAGCUAUUAUGAUCUGUUGCAGUCUGAUAGCACUGGAUAGUAUGGUAGAAUGUGUGAUUCUAUUUGCAAUGAUAGACUUAUCUAGAUCUUGCGUAGACAUGUCUAGUUUAAUCUGCUAUCUGUUCAUCGUAUUCAUGAUUUAUUUCUGGAUUAAAUUAAAACUAAAAGUGCUUAUAUAUAUCCAACAAUCCAAAAACCUUCUUGUAGGCACUUUAGUUUUAUGGCUGGAUUUCUUAAUGCACUGAGGCUAGCACCGUUUGCUGGCGUGCACUUCAAGAGGUGGCAGGUGAAAGCCACGCUUUGGCUUACUGCCAUGAAGGUGUUCUGGGUGUCCAAUGGCAAGCCGGAAGGGGUUCUCUCUCCUGAAAAGGAGAAAGAAUAUUCGGAAGCCAACACAAUCCUCUUGGGCGCUGUGAUUGGUGCACUUGCAGAACAUCUGCAGGAUGUGUACCUUCAUCACACGGUUGCAAAGGAGUUGUAGGAUGAUCUGACUGCCAACUACGGUGGCUCAGAUACUAGCACUGAACUAUACAUCAUUGAGCAGUAUCAUGACUACAAGAUGGUUGAUGGAAAAUCUGUAGUCGCUCAGGCUCAUGAAUUACAGUGCAUGGUGAAGGAACUCGAUCUGCUAAAGAUUGUCGUGUCCGACAAGUUUGUCGCUAGGGGCAUUAUUGCCAAGUUACCUCCAUCCUGGAGGGAUUUCGCCACUUCUCUCAAACACAAGAGGAUAGAAAUUUCUGUUUCAGACUUGAUUGCGUCUCUUGAUGUUGAGGAGAAAGCUCGGGCUAAAGAUGGACGAUCUAAAGCUAUUGAGGGUCAGACCAGUGCCAAUAUGGUGCACCAAUCACAUCACAAUGGCAAUGGUGGCAAGGGCAAGGGCAAGAACAAUAAGCCUAAGCAGUCCACUACCUUGAAGAAGAAGAAGAACAAGGAGAACGAGGGAUGCUUCGUGUGCGGUUCUACUGACCAUUGGGCAAAGAAGUGUCCAAACCGCAAAGGAAGAAAACUGUAACACCUCUACCUAAAUUAAGUGCUUUAAUUCUAAACCAGUGUCAAAGUAAAUCCCUAAGCUAAGAAGUGAAAUGACAUGUAUAAACCUAAGAAGCUCUCUUUUGGGGUUUGUUUUAAAGCUUGAAAUUCUAUAUACAAACUUCAGUUUAUGCCCAAAUAAGAGUUGUAAAACUUUUAAAUUCCAACAACUUUUGUUAAAGGCAACUUGUCUAAUUCGGAGUGGAAAGGAGUCAAAAACAGCAACCCAAGCCGGUUCUCCUACAGGACCUUGAAAAUCUCUGAAGUCCUGGAAUUCGAGUUUUCCUCCAUCUUUGCAAGCUUUCAUCUCCCGUUUUCUUAUCUAAACUCGAGUCAGAGCCUUAAUAGAAGUUGUAGUACCUCAAGAGUGUUCCAAUGUUGUUACACUGACCCAGAUCCAAAUCGGGCCCGAACUUGUUCAAAAUCCCGGUCAAAGUGAGGUAAACCAGUCAACUCACCCCGGAUGCUUAAAAAUCCUAAGUCUGGAAUCCCAGAUUUUUGGCUAACUUUGGCCAGAAAUAUCUUUGAAUCCUUUCACAAUCUAAACCGACACCUUAAACAAAAUUUGAAGAACGAUCAGAGUUGAACAAGUUUGUUUAAGGGAGUUUCGGGAGUUGUGUUGAAAGAUUCGGAGAAGGAUCGCUCCAAAGCUGGUCUGGCUUGCCGCCCAAAAGGAGCCUCGACGCCCGCGCGCCCGAGCAUGUUCGCUCGCGCGCCGCGCGCCGCGUGGCCGCCGGCCACCAGCAGCUCGCCGGCGCCCUAUCACCAGCGCAACAGCGACCGGACAAGUGCCACGGCACCCAACCCGCACCCGCGACAGGAUGGAGCGAGCGCAGGGCUCGCCAAUCGCCGACCGCGCGCAGGUCGCCUUCCGCCUGCCACGGCUCUGCUCCGCCAACCCGGUCCCGCCCGUUCGCCGAGAAAGCUGAGAUGCCCCCGACGUCCCGCGCCUCCGCCCGCUCGCCCAACCCCCACGGUAGCCUUUCCGCCUCGCCCGCCCGACAGACCGGAAGCCCCAAACGCGCGCCGCCCAAGGCCAAUCGCCGCUGAAGACCACCCGGAGCUCCGCCUCCUCUGCCCAAUGGCGUCGUCGGCCAAUGGCCACCUCGCUCGAGCACUCGCCGCUCCCGGCCUUAUCCUUUCCCCACCGGAGCCCCGCCUCGACCCUCCGCGCCACCCCGGCCCUAUAAAAGGGAACCCCCUCACCGGCAAUGCCACCCCUUUGCCACCGCCCGCACCGCGCCGCCGCUUUCUCCUCUACGCCCUGCUUUCUCCUCUGAGCCACCGCUUUCUUCCCGCGCCGCCGCUGAGCUUCCGUGAAGCUCACCCCCUUGCGCCACCCCCACACUCCGGCGACUUCGCCGCCACCCGCAAGCCGCUUCUUCCAACACACCCGCUGCCCGCUCCUCCGCGCGGUACUAGAGCUUGCUUGUGUCCACUAGAAGCACCGCCGCCGCCGGACCACCGUCGAAGUCUCGCCGCCGCCCAAGCCUUCGUGCGUACAACCCUUCCGCCCAGCCUACUCCUGCUCGGCCCCAAGGCUUCGCCGGUAGACCUGGAGGUAAGCUACCUAACCUCCCUGUCUUUCCGUCUCAUACGACCCCUAUCCUUUUCGUCUCGCCCAACCCCUGGUCUCGCCCGACCCCUAUCUUUCCAUCUCGCCCGACCCCUGUCUUUCCGUCUCGCCCGACCCCUGUCCUUGUUCGUUUCGCCCGACCCCUAUCCUUUUCGUUUCGCCCGACCCCUGUCCUUUUCGUUUCGCCCGACCCCUUUUCUUUUCGCCUCGCCCGACCCUGCCAAGUUUGCCGACCCUUUCUCCGCCUCGCCCGAGGGCUCGGUUGUAAUUCUUUUUCUUGAUCCGAGGGUAUCGGUGAAAUGUUUUUGGGGAUUCCUCUGUGUUGAGUCCGAGGACCUCGGUAAGGUUUUCCUUAAACCUGAGGGUCAGACCCUAAGUUUUCGUCAAUCCGACCCUCUCAUCCUGCUCUCCACCAACAGAAGUUGAACUCCCCCACCUUUCUUGUAGCUUUGCUACAAGUGUCCGUGUUAAAACGUGAGAGUGUUGAAAUAACCAUCUAAAAUGUUUAACCCCUGCAUUGCAUUUCCAUGUAGAGUUGAAUCUCGCCGACGGGACGUACGAGCUUCAUCCAGCCCCGGAAGAAGACCCCACUGAGGAACAGCUGCACCCCUUCGAAGGAGAGCCCGAACCAGCGCAAGACCCCAAGGACCCCCAAGCGUUUUCUGAAGGCAAGCCCCGGUGCAUGAACUCCCUGUUUUGCUUUCAUGCCACUUAUUGAUUACUUGAUUGCGCAUUUACGUUCGAGGAGUUGUAAUGGAACCUUAGAUGCAUAACUUAGUACGUUGUUUUUGAAUACUAGUUGCUAAGGCCGAAUAGUUGCAUUGCUUAAUAGGUUUCGGUAAAAGUCGAGUGAUCUCCUGUCACUCGCGAGUUAUAGGAGUUGAAUGUUUCAGAUUUGUCGCAACUAUAAGGACGACGGACGGGGUCAGGCUUGUGUUCGAUGCUUGGUGGAUUGCCCCGUCUGUCUAAAUGAAAAUGAACUAAGGUCGAAACAUGUCGGCGUUCGUGAUCAAGUGAUUGAAAGUACUAUUUCAUACCUAGUAUGGGAUGGGGAAGCCUAGUACCUGAUUGAACUGGGGCGUGGCAUACCUUCUGGCUGUCCUUGGAACAUCGUUCCCAUGGUGCAUCAUGUGGGUGCAAGUGCGGUCAAAGUGCAGCAAUAGGCCGGGACUGUGGAGCAUUGCAUGCCAAAGGAAGUUGGCCCUGACACGUGCCUAAGGGAUCGAUGGGGACGGCUGACAAAUGAAGCGACCCUUCGAGGUGCGCGGAUGUCGUGAGAUUAGGUUUGCCAUGCAUGGUUAAUAAAUUCGAAUCGAUUCGUCUGCCUCUCACAGAUUGGGACUACUUGAUCGCUAUUCUGCACUGAGUAAAUAUGGAACAUGAUGAUGAUUUUAAUCUUGAUGUUUGAUAAGUAAUUGCCUGGAAACCAUGUUUGUUUAGUAUAAGUUGCUAAUUUAGAAUGGAUAAAGAACAUAGAACAUGAGCUAAAAGGUUGAAAGUAAGGACUAACUUUAGACGCUUUUGGCAAGAAAAACCCCAGAGCCAGAAAGCCUUGCAUGUCUAAGUCUCGGUCGUGUCCUUCCGACGGGUCAGUCUUGCUGAGUACUAGUUGCUCAGCCUUGUUGUGGCUAAUCUUUUUCAGGUAAUGUCAGUAGCUUGGGUGUUGGUACCACUUGGCC